CAAAGCCGGGCACCACAGCUAGACGCUGAUAUGACUCAGUAUCAGUGUUGUAACUUGCCUCGGGAGAUUUAUUUGAGCUGAGUCUCAGUUAUCCCCCUGGAAAAACCGUACCUUCUUUGCAGAGUUGUGGGGUCAAAUGAGAGAACUUGGAUCGGAGCCGGCAUCUAGUAGCUCAAUACGUGGCUUCCAUGCAUUUGGGUGAGGCCGCAUGACUAAGGCAGACCAAAGAAAUGUGAGCAGAAGCUUGAUGACUGAAACCAAUCCAUCCCAGGAUCCUGAAAAAUCCAGCAUUUGAAGUUUAUUUUAAAAUUGACUGGCUUCUUCAUAUACACAGAAUCAGUACUCACACACCCACCUGUAUUUGCACACAUCCAAACAAACAGAAACAGCAACAAAAGGGAAUUUCUUCAUACACUUGUGUGUCUUAAUUUUCAGUCUGGGAAAAUAUGAUUACCUGAGACAUUUACUCCUAGUUGCCCUGAGGAAUGUCUUCAGAAUUCAGUCCCCAGAGCAAGACUUGAUCUUGAAGUCCACCGCCAGCCCUUUCUCCUUGCCUUUGGCAAAUGAAAUGUGACGGCACUGCUCUCUGUUGGUCUGGCUGCCAGCAUGGGCAUGGAACACCUCUUUCCAUUUGCUGCGCUCCCUAAAGAAUAGACUGGAAGUUCUUUCAGACCUUUUAGAUUCUUGGUGUGAGCUCGAAGAUCACCUGAGCUGGCUGAAUGAUUCUAGGUUUUUAUUUUUAAUGUCAAAUUAUAACAAGAACCUCCAGGGCCUCAAGGGAAAUGUCUUUGAAAGAACAU